UGUGGACACGGCUCAAUGGAAGUCAUGAAAAAAUUGUAAAUAAGAGCUGAGACUUUUUGACAAAUCUCCAAGUUGGACGAAUUCUUCAUCACUGUUGUCCGUUCUUCCCCCAGAAGAGGCAAGCACGGGCUGUGCAGGGAAUAGAAACCAUGACUAAGGGAAAGACCUUCUCACAUGAAAUCAGAGGAUCAUAGACUUAAAAAUGAGGAACUGAGGCUUGUUGAAACUUCACUUGGUUCAGGAUUGUACCUAAGGUCAAAGAAAGAGCCUAGAAGAAAUUGAAGAAACCUCUGGGUGAGAACUGGGCGGGUACGAGGCACAGAUCCUAUGGCCCAACCCAGUGGUCUACUUCUCAGGACCUCACUCUGAAGGAAGAGUCUCACUGUCUACUUUCAAGCCUACCCAGCUUCAAAGACCACCAGUUCAACUGCCAUUUCUUCCAUGAAGCCUUCCUGAUUGCCCCCAUCUGGAAUUGACCUCCUAACGCCCUGCUCCACUUGAAUGCUCUUUAUUGGCACCUCUCUCAUUGUCUCUUUGCUUGGAAUUAGAUUUUUACCUGUCUUCACCUCCCCUAUGAGACUAAGCUUGUUGAAGACAAGGACUGCAUCUUAUUCGCCUUCUAUUUCCCAAAAGUCUGUCACAGUGAUCCUCUGCCACUUAAUUUGACAUUGAACAAACCCUUUCACCUCUUUGAGCCUUGGUUUCUUCUAUUGUAAAAUAGGGAUGAUAAUAGCCCUUACCUCACAAUUUUUUGUGAAGACUGAAACACACACAUACGUAAUUUAUUGAGCAUACACUAUGUGUGUCAGAGAUGUGACAUGCCUUUCAAAGGGCAAAUACCUAGUGCUGGCAGACCUGGACUCAAAUAUCGUCUUCUAAAUAGACUAUGCUCCUAACCAGUGUUCCACACUGCCUCCCACAUAAGAGAGGGACACAGCCAGACAGCGCCCAGCACACAGUAGGAGCACAGUGACUGUUGCGAAAUGCUUGACUCUGUUGAACUGAAUCAAACACCUCUUUGACUUCACUUUCCCCUGGACUGUGGUUUGCCCGUCUCCAGUUUAUCCUGCCUGUGUCAUCAGACCACGUGACACACACACCCCCUGGGGGCCCACUUAAUUCUUGCUGACUUGGAAUGUGUCUUCCCAGCACUCCUGUAAACUGGGAGGAGGCUUUGGGCUGUAAAUCUUGGAUCUGGGACAGCCCAAAGGUCUUUGUUUGCACUAACCCAGACAACAGCUGGAACUCCAACCAAAGGAGACGCUGCCUGGUGGGGGAGGGGGAAUGUGUGAGCCUUCCCAUCCUCCCCACACAGAGGAGUCCAAGGUCCAAGGCUGCAGGUCUCCUGUGUUGAACAUACUCCUCACCCUUUGGUUGCGAAGGAAUUUGUGGUGAUAAAACCAGUUCUUCAUUGCGAGCCCCCUCACCUCAUAACAGCCUUACGGCUGGAUAUUUGGGAAAAG
ensembl:lncRNA